rnacentral:rRNA from 1 species
GACGAACGCUGGCGGCGUGCUUAACACAUGCAAGUCGAACGGUGAAGCUCCAGCUUGCUGGAGUGGAUCAGUGGCGAACGGGUGAGUAACACGUGAGCAACCUGCCCCUGACUCUGGAAUAAGCGCUGGAAACGGCGUCUAAUACUGGAUACGAGAAGGGUCCGCAUGGGCACUUUCUGGAAAGUUUUUCGGUUGGGGAUGGGCUCGCGGCCUAACAGCUUGUUGGUGAGGUAAUGGCUCACCAAGGCGACGACGGGUAGCCGGCCUGAGAGGGCGACCGGCCACACUGGGACUGAGACACGGCCCAGACUCCUACGGGAGGCAGCAGUGGGGAAUAUUGCACAAUGGGCGAAAGCCUGAUGCAGCGACGCCGCGUGAGGGAUGACGGCCUUCGGGUUGUAAACCUCUUUCAGCAGGGAAGAAGCGAAAGUGACGGUACCUGCAGAAGAAGCACCGGCUAACUACGUG